AGGGGAGUGUAGUGACAGGGGUAGCCUAGUUUUUGUGGAUAAGUAUGUGCAGAAAAUGUAUGGAAGCAAAAAUCGCUAUGACUGGCCCAGAAAAGUAACCGAAGACGGCUAUGUGUCCAAUGUGGAAGUUGAUAUUGGAGCCUUCAAGACCACAGGUAGCGGAACUCCAUGGGCUCGCUGACUUCCUGGUCGGUGGGGCGGCGCAGCUGCAUGCGCACGGAGACGGGCGAAGUGAUGG